CUCCCUCUCCAAAACUGUCGCUGUUGCCGCUUUCUGUAAGAAGACGUACAUCUUCAAGUUGGACCACCACUCCAAGCUAUUAUCCAUAUUCCCCAUCCACACUUGCGGGGUUUUUUCUUUAAAUAUUAUUUUUUAAUAUUUAUUUCCCAUUCUAUUUGUUUUCAACUUAUUUUUUUUAAAUACAGUUGUUUGAAUGAUCUGGCG
rnacentral:lncRNA from 1 species